UUGAAAGGGAAACGAUUGAAGUCAGUCGUACUGACGGGAAAUCAACUUUUCGAGUGCUUGUCGUGAAUGACGUUGAGCUUCACGGCCUUCGUUGCUUGCGUUAUGGUGCUUUUGAGGUGUACUUUUCCGUAUGGUAAGUCAACAUCGAUUUUGAUCGUCAUAAAAUGAUCGGAGGAAUGUGGCUCUGAUCUCGUAUCGGAGUGUUAUAGCCUUUGGUAGAUGUGACGAUUGGGAUCGAGGAUUGCAACGAAUACCCUUUUGGGCUAUCCGUCUGACCUCUGAAAGUCGCUCGGGUGUCGAAAGCGUGCUUAUGACAUUUUAGUUGGCGGUCAAAAGGUUAGAACGUGAUUACAUUCGUUAAGGAUGUUGACGUA
rnacentral:rRNA from 1 species